rnacentral:rRNA from 1 species
AUGUAUAUCCAGGAGUUCAAGCACAAGCUCAAUGAGAUUGUGCUUUCGUUGCGUCAACCGACUUCUAAGCCUCCCCCACGGCCUUUUGACACGGAAGCAUUCAACAAUUAUUUUGUGUGGUUUCGUUCCGUUGCAUGUACUCAACUUAACACACCCGCAUUUCAGCCAGGGGACAUAUUACAUGAAUCCAAUCCAGGUUUUGAUCGGAUGGCCAAUAUGGAGUACAACAUGCUUAUUAGAGAUGGUAGACGGUAUGAAUCGGCGCCAACUAUCCGCUUUGUGGUAAGUUACCGUUAUAUCUAUAUGCUUGCCUACAUUGUGCCAAAAUGA